ACGAAUUCAAGUCGAUACGUUGUGCUGGUGGCAACACAUGUGCACGCGUGUCGCAAACAUCCACACACCUGUGAACUAUAGACUCUGAGAUUGAGCACCCGGACUUUGUCCACGUGCGAGGGGACCUUCGCGUCCUCCGUCUCGGGGUAUUUUUACAUACUCUUAAUGUGAUAGAAUGUAUAUGUGUUUAACACAACUAUA
rnacentral:misc_RNA from 1 species